AUAAAUACAACGGUGAUAAUUCGAUGUGAU
rnacentral:guide_RNA from 1 species